UACGUAGGGGGCUAGCGUUGUCCGGAAUCAUUGGGCGUAAAGCGCGUGUAGGCGGUCCGGUAAGUCCGCUGUGAAAGUCGGGGGCUCAACCCUCGAAUGCCGGUGGAUACUGUCGGGCUAGAGUGCGGAAGAGGCGAGUGGAAUUCCUGGUGUAGCGGUGAAAUGCGCAGAUAUCAGGAGGAACACCAAUUGCGAAGGCAGCUCGCUGGGACGUUACUGACGCUGGAGACGCGAAAGCGUGGGGAGCGAACAGG
rnacentral:rRNA from 1 species